AUCCUCCAAGGCUAAAUACUCCUGAUUGACCGAUAGUGAACCAGUACCGUGAGGGAAAGGCGAAAAGAACCCCGGCGAGGGGAGUGAAAAAGAACCUGAAACCGUGUACGUACAAGCAGUAGGAGCCUCUUUAUGGGGUGACUGCGUACCUUUUGUAUAAUGGGUCAGCGACUUAUAUUCUGUAGCAAGGUUAACCGCAUAGGGGAGCCGUAGGGAAACCGAGUCUUAACUGGGCGAAUGAGUUGCAGGGUAUAGACCCGAAACCCGGUGAUCUAUCCAUGGGCAGGUUGAAGGUUGGGUAACACUAACUGGAG
rnacentral:rRNA from 1 species